rnacentral:rRNA from 1 species
CAGUCAUGCCGGUGAGAAAUCAGCUUACAGGCUACUGUGAGUGCACUUUUUCGCAAGGCAGGUUAACAUCGGUUUUUGUUGCGUUAUAAUGAUUGUAGGAAGGUGGCUCCUUCGGGAGUGUUAUAGCCUACUUUAGAUGGCGCGACGAGGACUGAGGAUUGCAGCGAAUGCCUUUGGCUACGGAUCUGUUCUCUGUCGAUCUUCAAUUGAUCUUCAGCUUGCUGAUGA